rnacentral:tRNA from 1 species
GUCUGGGUGGCUCAGUCAGUUAAGCGUCUGACUUCAGCUCAGGCCAUGAUCUCAUGAUUCGUGGGUUCGAGCCCCACAUCGGGCU